AGUGAACGCUGGCGGUAGGCCUAACACAUGCAAGUCGAACGGCAGCACAGUAAGAGCUUGCUCUUACGGGUGGCGAGUGGCGGACGGGUGAGGAAUACAUCGGAAUCUACUUUUUCGUGGGGGAUAACGUAGGGAAACUUACGCUAAUACCGCAUAAGACCUACGGGUGAAAGCAGGGGAUCUUCGGACCUUGCGCGAUUGAAUGAGCCGAUGUCGGAUUAGCUAGUUGGCGGGGUAAAGGCCCACCAAGGCGACGAUCCGUAGCUGGUCUGAGAGGAUGAUCAGCCACACUGGAACUGAGACACGGUCAAGACUCCUACGGGAGGCAGCAGUGGGGAAUAUUGGACAAUGGGCGCAAGCCUGAUCCAGCCAUACCGCGUGGGUGAAGAAGGCCUUCGGGUUGUAAAGCCCUUUUGUUGGGAAAGAAAGGCAGCAGGUUAAUACCCCGCUGUUCUGACGGUACCCAAAGAAUAAGCACCGGCUAACUUCGUG
rnacentral:rRNA from 1 species